AUGGCUGCCGUUGCAGUGGGAGGAGCAUUUCUGUCUGCAACCCUUCAAGUGUUGUUUGACAGGAUGGCAUCUCCGGAGGUCCUGGACUUCAUCCGAGGAAGAAAAGUUCCUGAUAACUUGCUAGUGAAGUUAGAGACAUCGUGUCUGGCCCUUAACGCAGUGCUCAAUGAUGCAGAGGAAAAGGAAAUCACUAACCCACCUGUGAAAAGGUGGCUUGAUGAGCUCAGAGAUGCUGUCUGUGACGCAGAGGACCUUUUGGAUGAGAUUGCUACCAAAGCUUUGCAAUGCCAGUUGGAAGCUAAGAACAAGGUACGGAACUGCAUCCCUGUUUCUUUUAAUUGGUCUGGUAUAAGACUAAAAUCAAAGAUAGAAGAAGUCAUAAUAAGGCUGGAAGACUUGGCAAAGCAAAAGGAUGUUAUAGGUCUGAGGGAACGUGUUGGAGGGAAAUCUUCACAAAAAUUGCCCACAACUUCUCUAGUAGAAGAUACUGGAAUCUAUGGUAGGGAUCCUGAUAAAGAACCAAUAGUCAACUUGCUGCUCUCAAAUGAUGCAAAAUGCAAUGACAACCUCUGUGUGAUUCCCAUAGUGGGCAUGGGUGGAGUUGGCAAGACCACCCUUGCUCAACUUAUCUACAACGAUAAAAGAAUCACAGAACAUUUUAACCUUAGAGUUUGGGUUUUUGUUUCAGAGGAAUUUGACUUGCUUAGGAUAUCAAAAUUAAUUCUUGAGGAAGUCACUUCACAGAUAUGUGACACCACAAACUUUAAUAUGAUCCAAACUAGAUUGAAGGAGAGUUUGAUGGGAAGGAAAUUCUUCUUAGUUCUUGAUGAUGUAUGGAAUGAGAAAAAUGGUGAUUGGGAGGUCUUAAGAAAUCCCUUUAAAUAUGGGGCAUCAGGAAGUAAGAUUCUUGUGACAACUCGCCAUGAACAUGUUGCAUCAAUCAUGCGCACUGUUCCAAUUUGUUAUCUAAAUCACCUAUCAAAUGAAGAUUGUUGGUUGAUAUUUGCAAAGCAUGCCUUUGAAAAUGGCAACUCUAUGGCAUAUCCACAACUAGAAGCAAUUGGUAGACAAAUAAUCAAGAAGUGUGACGGCUUACCUUUAGCAGCAAAGGCACUUGGGGCUCUCUUGCGCUAUAAACUAGAUGUAGAGGAAUGGGAUAAGAUUUUGGAGAGCGAAAUUUGGGGGAUGCCUAAUGAUGUUCUUCCAGCUUUAAGAUUAAGUUACAAUUACCUACCCUCACAUUUGAAGCGAUGUUUUGCUUAUUGUUCAAUAUUCCCAAAGGAUUAUGUAUUCAAAAAGCAAGAAUUAAUUCAGUUGUGGAUGGCAGAGGGUUUCUUGCAACAGCUUGUUGACAAUAGAGAAAUGGAAGAUGUAGGUGAUGAGUACUUCCUUGAUCUAGUAUCGAGGUCUCUCAUACAACGAUCAAAUGUCAAUAAAUUGCAUUUUGUAAUGCAUGACCUUGUCCAUGAUCUAGCCAAAUUUGUAUCGGGAAGAUUUUGUUUUAGAUUGGAGGGAGACAAAAGAAAUGAAAUUAUACAUAAGACUCACCAUUUUUCGUACUUAAAAAAGCAAUACGAAACCUCGAAAAGGUUUGAGGUUUUGUACAAAGCUAAACAAUUACGCACCUUCCUUCCUUUAGAAUCACAUGAAGUAAAUGUCGACUUCUACUUAACAAAGAAUGUACCACAUGAUCUGUUGUUAAUGCUAAGAUGCUUAUGUGUGCUAUCUCUUUCUAAUUAUAGUAAUAUGAUUGGGUUGCCAGAGUCAAUUGGAGACCUCAUACAUCUACGUUAUGUAGACCUCUCUUGUACUAAAAUUGAGAGGUUGCCUAACUCUGUCUGUAAAUUGUACAAUUUACAGACAUUGGAUCUAUCAGGAUGUGAAUUUCUUAUUAUGCUACCAACAAAUAUGCGAAAGCUUGUUAAUUUACGUCAUCUUGAUAUUUCUAGAACUCGCAUUAUGAAGAUGCCAAUACAAAUGGGUGAAUUGAAGCGUCUUCGAACUUUGACUAAAUUUAUUGUCGACAAGGAUAGUGGAUUCCAAAUCGGGGAGUUGGGGGAACUUUCAAAUCUUCGGGGAACCAUUUUGAUAUCAAAGCUCCAGAAUGUGAUAAAUCCGAUGGAUGUGUUGAAGGCGAAGUUGAAGGCUAAGAGGCACCUUGAGGAACUAACGUUGGAAUGGGAUACCAAUGGCAUUGUUUCUCAAAGUGAAAGAGAAGUACUCAAGCAUCUUCUGCCUCAUACAAAGUUGAAAAGGCUUUUUAUCAACAGCUACAGUGGCACAAGCUUUCCAAGUUGGGUAGGAGAUCGUUCAUUUUCAAAUAUAACCGUUCUCCAUCUGAAGUCUUGUAGAUGUUGCCCCAAUUUGCCAUCACUUGGGCAGCUCCCCUCUCUUCAAGACCUCUCAAUUGUUGGGUUUGAUGAAGUUGUUAGGGUGGGUCCAGACUUUUAUGGUAGCUGUUCCUCUGCCGUUACACCAUUUGCAUCCUUGAGAAUUUUGAAAUUUGAGGGAAUGUUGAAGUGGGAGGAAUGGCUUUGUUAUGAUGGUGGAAAUGAACAAGGGGGAGCUUUCCUGCGUCUCCAAGAUCUUUACCUUGUGGAUUGUCCAAAACUAAGCGGAAGCUUGCCUAAGCAUAUUCCUUCUUUGAGCACAUUGGUGAUUAGCAAUUGCUCACAGCUUGAGACCUCUCUCCCAAUUGCUCCUGCAAUCCGUGAUUUGCGAUUUAUGUUUUGUAAUGAGGUGCUGUUGAAAGAAAUGCCACCUAAAUUGAAUGAGCUCAGAAUGGAAGGAUUCCAUAACUUGGAGUCCCUGCUUGAUGGAGCAAUGGAUCACAACCAUUGCCUAGAAGAGUUGAUAAUCUGGGAUUGUCCAGUGCUCAAGUUUCUUCCUCGCGGUGGUCUACUCACUUCACUAAAAAAGCUUGGUAUUUUGAACUGUAAGGAAUUACAGUUCCUGACGUACCCAUCCUACUCUUCCCUUGAGUCAUUGUACAUAUCCCAUAGCUGUAAUUCUCUCAUGUCAUUCCCCUUAGACAUUUUCCCCAAGCUUUAUUAUCUUGGAAUCAAAAUGUGUAGAAGCAUGGAGUCCCUUUCAGUUUCAGAGGGACAUCACCUUGAUCUACUAGUGCUGGAAAUCGAGGAAUGUCCUAAUUUUGUAUCUUUUCCUAGUGGAGGAUUGCCAGCCCCCAACCUCACAAGGUUAAAAGUCACUAGUUGCCCUCGUCUUGUGUCACUGCCUCAGAACAUGCACUUGCUCCUCCCCUCUCUUCAAUCUUUGUAUAUAGAAGAUUGUCCACAGGUUGAUCUUUUUCCAGAAGGUGGUCUGCCAACCAAUCUAAAUCGUUUUGUAAUCGAUGUAUCAGAAAAACUCUUUGCCAAUAGGAUGGAUUGGGGUUUGCAAAGAUUGUGUUCUCUUCAAAUAUUGUUAUUCUCCAAUCUUGCUGGUGAUUGCCAGGAUGUCCAGUCCUUUCCGGAAGAGAAUCUACUGCCCACAAGUCUUAGCACUCUUGGCAUUGCUGGAUUUCCAAAUUUGAGAUCAUUGGACAAGAGGGGGCUUCAACAUCUCACCUCUCUUGAAGAAUUGUGGAUCAAAGACUGUCCCAAGCUCAAGCACAUGCCAGCUAAAAAGGGGCUUCCUAUCUCCAUUUCUCACCUACAGAUCCGUCAAUGUUCUUUGUUGACAAAACGAUUGCAAAGGAAGAAGGGGAAAGAAUGGCGCAAGAUUGCUCACAUCCCUUUCAUAGAAAUUGGAGAUGAAGUCAUUUCCUAAGCUAGAAGUCUAGACACGAUCCAAUCCUAUUUGACAAUCAGGUAUUUGUUCUGCUUGGCCAGCUAAGUUUAAUCUUAAUUUUACAUAUAAUUCUUUUUGUACUUUUAUGCUUGGACGGAUAAUUUUUUGAUAAUGAAGAAAAUUUUAUUAUUAUUGGAAAAUAGUUUCAAUCCUGAUAAAAAAAAGAUGAAAAUAAUAAUAAUAAUAAUGAAUUUCUGGGAAGCGUAUUAUUCUUUGCCUGAUUCUGUUUUUCCCCAAGCUUUAUUAUCUCGAAACCAAAAAUAGUUUCAAUACUGAUUCUGUUUUUCACAAUUGAUGAAAAUAAUGAUGGUUUUUGAUCAAUUUCUGUAUGCAAAAAAGUAUGGAGGAGCUCUCAAGGACUCGGUGUACGAUAGGAUGGAGUUCUUUGUUGAAGAAAUGCUUCCAAAGGAAACAUGGAAAAGUGCACACCCGAAAUUCUUGGUCAUGUACCUGUUGAAUUGGACCAGUUAAGUGCCUGGAUGAUUUAAUGCCUUUUUUUAAUUAAUAAAAAGCGUGAAAAUGUUAUUAGUGAUGAGAAAAGAUUGCUUGGACACUUGUUAACUCAAUGUCUAUUUGACUAGUGCAGAUCUCCUCAUAGCAGACAAGGCGAGUGUCUAA
rnacentral:sRNA from 1 species